CGAAGGGGCUAGCGUUGUUCGGAAUUACUGGGCGUAAAGGGCGCGUAGGCGGUCCCUCAAGUCAGGCGUGAAAGCCCCGGGCUCAACCUGGGAACCGCGCUUGAGACUGAUGGGCUAGAGUUCGGGAGAGGAUGGUGGAAUUCCCAGUGUAGAGGUGAAAUUCGUAGAUAUUGGGAAGAACACCGAUGGCGAAGGCAGCCAUCUGGACCGACACUGACGCUGAGGCGCGAAAGCGUGGGGAGCAAACAGGAUU
rnacentral:rRNA from 1 species